rnacentral:rRNA from 1 species
GAUGAACGCUGGCGGCGUGCCUAAUACAUGCAAGUCGAGCGAACGGACGAGAAGCUUGCUUCUCUGAUGUUAGCGGCGGACGGGUGAGUAACACGUGGAUAACCUACCUAUAAGACUGGGAUAACUUCGGGAAACCGGAGCUAAUACCGGAUAAUAUUUUGAACCGCAUGGUUCAAAAGUGAAAGACGGUCUUGCUGUCACUUAUAGAUGGAUCCGCGCUGCAUUAGCUAGUUGGUAAGGUAACGGCUUACCAAGGCAACGAUGCAUAGCCGACCUGAGAGGGUGAUCGGCCACACUGGAACUGAGACACGGUCCAGACUCCUACGGGAGGCAGCAGUAGGGAAUCUUCCGCAAUGGGCGAAAGCCUGACGGAGCAACGCCGCGUGAGUGAUGAAGGUCUUCGGAUCGUAAAACUCUGUUAUUAGGGAAGAACAUAUGUGUAAGUAACUGUGCACAUCUUGACGGUACCUAAUCAGAAAGCCACGGCUAACUACGUGCCAGCAGCCGCGGUAAUACGUAGGUGGCAAACGUUAUCCGGAAUUAUUGGGCGUAAAGCGCGCGUAGGCGGUUUUUUAAGUCUGAUGUGAAAGCCCACGGCUCAACCGUGGAGGGUCAUUGGAAACUGGAAAACUUGAGUGCAGAAGAGGAAAGUGGAAUUCCAUGUGUAGCGGUGAAAUGCGCAGAGAUAUGGAGGAACACCAGUGGCGAAGGCGACUUUCUGGUCUGUAACUGACGCUGAUGUGCGAAAGCGUGGGGAUCAAACAGGAUUAGAUACCCUGGUAGUCCACGCCGUAAACGAUGAGUGCUAAGUGUUAGGGGGUUUCCGCCCCUUAGUGCUGCAGCUAACGCAUUAAGCACUCCGCCUGGGGAGUACGACCGCAAGGUUGAAACUCAAAGGAAUUGACGGGGACCCGCACAAGCGGUGGAGCAUGUGGUUUAAUUCGAAGCAACGCGAAGAACCUUACCAAAUCUUGACAUCCUUUGACAACUCUAGAGAUAGAGCCUUCCCCUUCGGGGGACAAAGUGACAGGUGGUGCAUGGUUGUCGUCAGCUCGUGUCGUGAGAUGUUGGGUUAAGUCCCGCAACGAGCGCAACCCUUAAGCUUAGUUGCCAUCAUUAAGUUGGGCACUCUAAGUUGACUGCCGGUGACAAACCGGAGGAAGGUGGGGAUGACGUCAAAUCAUCAUGCCCCUUAUGAUUUGGGCUACACGCGUGCUACAAUGGACAAUACAAAGGGCAGCGAAACCGCGAGGUCAAGCAAAUCCCAUAAAGUUGUUCUCAGUUCGGAUUGUAGUCUGCAACUCGACUACAUGAAGCUGGAAUCGCUAGUAAUCGUAGAUCAGCAUGCUACGGUGAAUACGUUCCCGGGUCU